AGGGAGACUUGAAGAUGGACCGAGUGUUUCCAACUGUGGCGUGCGUCUAGUGAGCAGCGGACUGCACCGUCUGUAUAUGGAGUCAAGCUCGCUGGGACAUCCUUUCCAACCAGUGUUCUGACUGAGCUUCUGAACAAAACUCUGCCUUACAGUCUUUUGGUGUUUAUACACCAAAAUUUUGGAAGAUAUCUAGAAAACCUAUGGAGAUGAUGGUCUUUUCCCCCUCUUCGAAGAGAAGAUUGGGACCCCCAAGACUGUGCAAGGAAGAACUUAAUAUUCUUAAAGAGAAGUCCAAGUAUGAUUCUAUGAGAAUCUAUGGUUAGCAGGGGCUAGCCACCCUCUAGUGGAGUGAAUUGCCAUACACGGAGGAUUUAUUUGAAACAUUUCCCAAAAGUCUCGACUUCAGUAAAUACUCAUUGGAUGAUUGGCCUCUCGGAUACUUUUCUUACAUACUGAGAUCCAUGGGGCAGCAUCCAGAUUCUGCCAACUUGAUGGGACUCUGCUGUAGCUCCUUUACCUGUGCCAAGCAUCUGGACUGUCUGCACGAGGGACUGCCACGCCGGUGACCUUUUUAAAGGUGACGUCGCUGGGCAACAUGGACCAUUCUGGAGGGGACCUGCUGCACUCCUGCUGUAUUUUUGAACUUCUUGCUGUCAUUUCCACUGACUAUUGGAGCUGAGCUGCUGCCCAUGAUAAGCGAUUGUGACUUUGUACCAACUGCUGUGUCUGGGACAGUGUCCUUGACACACUGAGUGCACAGGUGAGGUCAGAGUGGAGCCACAGGCAUCCCUGCUCUCACUCCUCUUUCUCAUUUUUACUUCACUCCUUUCCACCUCCACCCCCCAAACCAUCGCACACUCACAUACGGAGAGCAGUGAGGAAACAGGAAAAGGUGAAAUAAGAAAAAUCGGAAUGGCAGUGAGAGAUUUCUGACUAGCACAAACAGAACAGACCUGCUCAUUCUUCUUGAGACCGGAGGUCUGUAUUCUGUAGAAAUUUCUUUUUAAAUAGUACAAUCUUCAAAUAAGCAAGCAUUUUGGUAAUGUGUUUUUACCUUCUAUCUGCUCGCCAAGGCGUUCUCUUCUUCCUAGCCUUUCCUUCCUCCAGCAGAAGGCAGGCGCACAGAACAAGAGACAUGUGGCCAGAAUUGCAAAGUUGGAGUUAGCAUUUUUAAGAGAACAGCUUUUUAGUAUUAUGUGUUUCUAUAUUUUAACUCAUAUACGCUUGAUAUUUUAAGGAUACACAGUUUUUCAUACAUUAGUAACUGCUGCGGGAAUUUAGAUCUCUGCUUUUUCUGAGGUGAUCUCGGGUAAUCUGCAGAGUGUUUUACGUUGAAAGAAGACUGAAUCCGCUGAAUGGGUGGAGUAGUUAAAGACACAGCAGGGAAAGGGAACUCAGUCUCCUUUGCUGUAGUAGAACUUGCAAAUCAAGGCACUACCAAGAACACAGACUCUUUCAUUCCCGUUCUCAUCAAUUUUGACAGUGCUGGGCCUGGGUUUUGCUACUAUGGGGUUGGAUAUCUGCAUUUUAUGUGUCCUGGGUAAACCUCAGUGCAAGUCCUCAGGGGAACUAUUUGCCACUACUGUAUUUUCAUAGUGGGCCAGCCCUUUGAUAAUGAUUGCUUUUGAAGAUAGCAUUCUUCUCAUGGGGCAGUAAUGGGGAGUGACCAUCCGGAAAAAAUUACCAAGAAAAGAAGUAAUUGGCCUAAUGGAAUUAAAUGCUUCCUACAGGGUAAAUUUCAUAAAUCUUUCAAAAUGUUGGUUUUUACUGGAUUCUACAGACAUGUUAAACAGGUAGACUUUAUGUAGUCCCAACUCAAUUAAAAGUUA